rnacentral:rRNA from 1 species
AGCGAACGCUGGCGGCAGGCCUAACACAUGCAAGUCGAACGAACUCUUCGGAGUUAGUGGCGGACGGGUGAGUAACACGUGGGAACGUGCCUUUAGGUUCGGAAUAACUCAGGGAAACUUGUGCUAAUACCGAAUGUGCCCUUCGGGGGAAAGAUUUAUCGCCUUUAGAGCGGCCCGCGUCUGAUUAGCUAGUUGGUGAGAUAAAGGCUCACCAAGGCUACGAUCAGUAGCUGGUCUGAGAGGAUGACCAGCCACAUUGGGACUGAGACACGGCCCAAACUCCUACGGGAGGCAGCAGUGGGGAAUCUUGCGCAAUGGGCGAAAGCCUGACGCAGCCAUGCCGCGUGGAUGAUGAAGGUCUUAGGAUUGUAAAAUUCUUUCACCGGGGACGAUAAUGACGGUACCCGGAGAAGAAGCCCCGGCUAACUUCGUGCCAGCAGCCGCAGUAAAAC